AACUUUGAUGGCUAACGUGGG
rnacentral:piRNA from 1 species